GUCUUCUUGGCUUAGUUGGUUAAAGCGUCGGUCUCAUACCACAUCAGUAUGAUCUAGACAACUCUAGAGUUAUCCGAAGGUCGCGAGUUCGACUCGUAAGUGUUU